CAUACAAGCUAAAUAAGGGCGUAUGGGGAAUGCCUAGGCUCUCAGAGGCGAAGAAGGACGUGAUAAGCUGCGAAAAGUCGUGGGGAUUGGCACAUACAAAUUGAUCCGCGAAUAUCCGAAUGGGGCAACCCACUUAAUUGAAGAUUAAGUAUCCUUUUAAGGAAGCAAACCCGGCGAACUGAAACAUCUAAGUACCCGGAGGAAGAGAAAACAAUAGUGAUUGCGCUAGUAGCGGCGAGCGAACGCGCAAUAGCCCAAACCAUAAGGUUUACGGACCUUAUGGGGUUGUAGGACCACAAUAUUUGUUGCAAUGUGAAUUAGAACAAGUUGGAAAGCUUGGCCAUAGACGGUGACAGCCCGGUAUAGGUAAAGAUUGUAAUGAUAGUGGUAUCCUGAGUAGUGCGGGGCACGUGAAACCCUGUAUGAAUCCGGCGGGACCAUCCGCCAAGGCUAAAUACUCCUGAGAGACCGAUAGUGAACCAGUACCGUGAGGGAAAGGUGAAAAGAACCCUGAACAAGGGAGUGAAACAGAUCCUGAAACCAUACGCUUACAAGCGGUCGGAGUCCCGAUUAUUCGGGAUAACGGCGUGCCUUUUGCAUAAUGAGCCUACGAGUUACCGUUUCCAGCAAGGUUAAGCAGUUCAGCUGCGCAGCCGUAGCGAAAGCGAGUCUUAAUAGGGCUAUUUAAGUUGGUAAUGGUAGACGCGAAACCGAGUGAUCUACCCUUGGGCAGGUUGAAGUUUGGGUAACACCAAAUGGAGGACCGAACCCGUUGACGUUGAAAAGUCUUGGGAUGACCUGAGGGUAGGGGUGAAAGGCCAAUCAAACUCGGAAAUAGCUCGUACUCCCCGAAAUGCAUUUAGGUGCAGCGGUAUAAUAGUUUUAUAGAGGUAGAGCUACUGAUUGGAUGCGGGGGCUUCACCGCCUACCAAUUCCUGACAAACUCCGAAUGCUAUAAAAUGUUUUAUAUCAGUGAGGGCAUGGGUGCUAAGGUCCGUGUCCGAGAGGGAAAGAACCCAGACCAUCAGCUAAGGUCCCCAAAUAUAUGUUAAGUUGAAUAAACGCGGUUGGACUGCCCAGACAGCUAGGAUGUUGGCUUGGAAGCAGCCAUUCAUUUAAAGAGUGCGUAACAGCUCACUAGUCGAGCGGUCCGGCAUGGAUAAUAAUCGGGCAUAAACAUAUUACCGAAGCUAUGGAUUUCAUUCCGAAUACUCGGGAUGGAGUGGUAGGGGAGCAUUGUAACAGAGAUGAAGGUGAGUCGUGAGGCUUGCUGGAUUGGUUACAAAAGAAAAUGUAGGCAUAAGUAACGAUAAUGCGGGCGAGAAACCCGCACACCGAAAGACCAAGGCUUCCCCAGCUAUGCUAAUCAGCUGGGGGUUAGUCGGGACCUAAGGCGAACCCGAAGGGGGUAGUCGAUGGACAACAGGUUAAUAUUCCUGUACUUGCCCCACGUUAAAGCGGACGGAGGCGAAUAGUUGGUGCGUGCUGACGGAAUAGCACGUUGAAGGGAGUGGUAACACCCCGAUAGUACACAAAAGCUUCGGCCGGCGUGAUAAUCCAGCGAAUCGACUUCCAAGAAAAGCGAGUGGAUGCAACCCGUACCGUAAACCGACACAGGUAGUUGGGAAGAGAAUUCUAAGGUGCUCGAGAGAUUCAUGGCUAAGGAACUAGGCAAAAUUGGCCCGUAACUUCGGGAGAAGGGUCGCCCCCAGCAAUGGGGGCCGCAGUGAAACAAUCCAGGCGACUGUUUAUCAAAAACACAGGACUCUGCGAAAUCGAAAGAUGAAGUAUAGGGUCUGACACCUGCCCGGUGCUGGAAGGUUAAGAGGAGAUGUUCGUCUUUCGGGACAAAGCAUUGAAUUGAAGCCCCAGUAAACGGCGGCCGUAACUAUAACGGUCCUAAGGUAGCGAAAUUCCUUGUCGGGUAAGUUCCGACCUGCACGAAUGGUGCAACGAUCUGGAUACUGUCUCAGCCAUGAGCUCGGUGAAAUUGUAGUAUCGGUGAAGAUGCCGAUUACCCGCUACGGGACGAAAAGACCCCGUGCACCUUUACUAUAGCUUAGUAUUGACUUUGGACAAGUGAUGUGUAGGAUAGGUGGGAGACAUUGAAGCGGUAUCGCCAGGUAUCGUGGAGUCAUUGUUGAAAUACCACCCUUUACUUGUUUGAAGCCUAACCCCGAUUGCUCGGGGGACAGUGCUUGGUGGGUAGUUUGACUGGGGUGGUCGCCUCCAAAAGAGUAACGGAGGCUUCUAAAGGUUCCCUCAGCACGCUUGGUAACCGUGCGUAGAGUGCAAUGGCAAAAGGGAGCUUGACUGAGAGACAUACAGGUCGAUCAGGUACGAAAGUAGAGCAUAGUGAUCCGGUGACACCGCGUGGAAGGGUCAUCGCUCAAAGGAUAAAAGGUACGCCGGGGAUAACAGGCUGAUCUCCCCCAAGAGCUCACAUCGACGGGGGGGUUUGGCACCUCGAUGUCGGCUCGUCACAUCCUGGGGCUGGAGAAGGUCCCAAGGGUUGGGCUGUUCGCCCAUUAAAGUGGCACGCGAGCUGGGUUCAGAACGUCGUGAGACAGUUCGGUCUCUAUCUGUAGUGGGCGUUAGAAAUUUGAGUGGACCUGAUCCUAGUACGAGAGGACCGGAUUGGACGAACCUCUGGUGCACCAGUUGUCACGCCAGUGGCACCGCUGGGUAGCUACGUUCGGAAGGGAUAAGCGCUGAAAGCAUAUAAGCGCGAAACCCACCACAAGAUGAGAUUUCUUUAAAGGACCGUGGGAGACGACCACGUUGAUAGGCCAUAGGUGUAAAGGCAGCAAUGUCAUAGCCGAGUGGUACUAAUAAUCCGUAAAGCUUGAUGCG
rfam:Salegentibacter echinorum strain DSM 24579 genome assembly, contig: Ga0131147_129